AAAUUGAAGAGUUUGAUCAUGGCUCAGAUUGAACGCUGGCGGCAGGCCUAACACAUGCAAGUCGAGCGGUAGCACAGAGAGCUUGCUCUCGGGUGACGAGCGGCGGACGGGUGAGUAAUGUCUGGGAAACUGCCUGAUGGAGGGGGAUAACUACUGGAAACGGUAGCUAAUACCGCAUAACGUCGCAAGACCAAAGUGGGGGACCUUCGGGCCUCAUGCCAUCAGAUGUGCCCAGAUGGGAUUAGCUAGUAGGUGGGGUA
rnacentral:rRNA from 1 species